UACGGAGGGUGCAAGCGUUGUCCGGAUUUAUUGGGUUUAAAGGGUGCGUAGGCGGCCAUAUAAGUCAGUGGUGAAACCCUUGGGCUUAACCCAAGGAGUGCCAUUGAUACUGUAUGGCUUGGGUUAUCUCUGGGCGGGCGGAAUGGAUGGUGUAGCGGUGAAAUGCGCAGAUAUCAGGAGGAACACCGGUGGCGAAGGCGGGUCUCUGGGCAGUAACUGACGCUGAGGAGCGAAAAGCGUGGGGGAGCGAACAGG
rnacentral:rRNA from 1 species